rnacentral:rRNA from 1 species
UACAGAGGUCUCAAGCGUUGUUCGGAUUUAUUGGGCGUAAAGGGUGCGUAGGCGGCAGAUCAAGUUAGAUGCGAAAUACCCGGGCUCAACUCGGGAACUGCAUUUAAUACUGCUCUGCUCGAGUAUUAGAGAAGAAGCUGGAAUUUACGGUGUAGCAGUGAAAUGCGUAGAUAUCGUAAAGAACGUCAGUGGCGAAAGCGAGCUUCUAGAUAAUUACUGACGCUGAGGCACGAAAGCUAGGGGAGCAAACGGG